rnacentral:rRNA from 1 species
CGGACGGGUGAGUAACGCGUGAGAAUCUGCCUUCAGGACGGGGACAACAGUUGGAAGCGACUGCUAAUACCGGAUAUGCCGAGAGGUGAAACAUUAAAUGGCCUGGAGAGGAGCUCGCGGCUGAUUAGCUAGUUGGUUGGGUAAAGGCUGACCAAGGCGACGAUCAGUAGCUGGUCUGAGAGGAUGAACAGCCACACUGGGACUGAGACACGGCCCAGACUCCUACGGGAGGCAGCAGUGGGGAAUUUUCCGCAAUGGGGGCAACCCUGACGGAGCAACGCCGCGUGGGGGAAGAAGGUUUGUGGAUUGUAAACCCCUUUUCUCUGGGAAGAAGGAAUGACGGUACCAGAGGAAUCAGCAUCGGCUAACUCCGUGCCAGCAGCCGCGGUAAUACGGAGGAUGCAAGCGUUAUCCGGAAUUAUUGGGCGUAAAGCGUUCGCAGGUGGUUAAUCAAGUCUGCUGUUAAAGUGCGGGGCUAAACUCCGUAAGAGCGGUGGAAACUGGUUGACUAGAGGAUGGUAGGGGUAGAGGGAAUUCCCAGUGUAGCGGUGAAAUGCGUAGAUAUUGGGAAGAACACCGGUGGCGAAAGCGCUCUACUGGACCAUGACUGACACUGAGGGACGAAAGCUAGGGGAGCGAAAGGGAUUAGAUACCCCUGUAGUC